rnacentral:piRNA from 1 species
UUGGACUGUGUGUCAGGAAGAUGGACUGC